ACUCGGGCGCGCGCGCACAUACAUACAUAGAUAUAUACAUACAGACGCACACACACACAGGACGGCAAAAUCGACUGAGCAGCGCAGACACACUCAACACCCCGACCACAACUAAUACAGCAUCAAUCGGACUGCACACUGCAGUGCACGCCAACCCGGACUUUUCCAUCUCAACACUAACUGGGAAAAAUAAAUAUAGCCUAGAUAUGUUUAAAUGAAUAGAUGUGCCGUAUUCUUCGUCGUCUUUAGUUUCAUUGCGGAAACGGAGGACGUUACUUUGCAUCUGGACCUAAAUACAUACUGAACACUGAACGCGCGAAGGCUGGGACAUUCUGUAAUCGUUUAUAAGGGAGAGGGGCGGAAAAUAACUGCGUUUCCCUGCAAAACGAAGAACCUCCUGACCGUGCCACUGCACCAGAUCUGUAGCUACAGGUACAUCGGUGAGGUAAGCGAGAAAACGCUGACCAAAACACCAGAAGCUACCUUGUGUUGGGCAAGAGUUUAAGAGUUUCACCUUUGACCUGCCGAUCUGAGGGACACAGAGCUCCAGAGGAACUUCAGGUGAGACACGGGCAAGACACAGGUGAGACGCAGUCAUGGACGAGAUGGACCUGCCCCAGAUGAAGAAGGAGGUGGAGAGCCUGAAGUACCAGUUGGCCUUCAAGAGGGAGAAAUCCUCCAAAACCGUCACAGACCUAGUCAAGUGGAUCGAGGACGGUGUCCCGGAGGAUCCAUUCCUGAACCCGGAACUGAUGAAGAACAACCCCUGGGUGGAGAAGGGCAAGUGCGCCAUCCUUUAAUGGCCCCGUCCCAACGCCACGCUGCACCCACACUGCCGGACGGAGCGACCCCUCUCUCACGAACUGCUGCUCACUGGAUGUUUUUUGUUUUUUGCACCAUUCUCUGCAAGCUUUAGAGACUGUUGCAUGAAAAUCCCAGGAGAUCAGCAGUUUCUUAGAUACUCAAACCACUCUGUCUGGCACCAACAAUCAUUCCACAGUCAAAGUCACAUUUCUUCUUCAUUCUGACAUUAGGUCUGAGAACCUCUUGACCAUGUCUACAUGCUAUUAUAUAUUUAGUUGCUGCUACAUGAUUGGCUGAUUCAAUAUUUACAUCAACAAGCUGGUGUACAGUUCUACCUAAUAAAGUGAUCACUGAGUGUAUAUUCUAUGAAGGCACAAUUCAAUAUGCAGUUUAGACCACAGACAGAAGACUACAGCGUGGUCAGUUCAUGUCUGCAGCUGUAUUUUUGUAUUAUUAAAAGUAUGCUGAUGUAUAGUCACUUUUGCUCCACUCUGUACAUAUCUGCCUUAUGUUACCAGCACUUACAGAUAACAACACAUAGCAUAUUCACACUCACACAGUCCAUUACACAUGUACAGAUAACCUGACCUGCUUAACUUAUCAACUCUAUUUAUAUUUAUUUAUUUGAUUCAUGAUCUAUUAUGUUAUUGAUCACAUAAUCCGUGGGUGCUGUCUGCUAUGGAAACUUGAAAUUGGCAUUUUAGUUUGUCCUUUCCUCUGAAGAAAAAAAAAAGAAGAUUCCAGAAAGCACCAGAUCACCAUUAGAUACUGCCUUGUACACCGUUUCUUCAAAGAAUGUAUUUCUUGUAGUUGGAGGUCACUCGGCCCCCGACUCCCUCAUGAGAAUACGCAUUAAAGUAAAAUCUGUCAUUUAAGGAAUGCAUUGUAAAAUUCUUGUCAAAAUGUGUUGUUAAUAAUUUGAAUAUGUAUCCAUCCAGGAACAGGAUGUUAUGCACAUACUGCGGAACUCACUGCAUUGUGAAACAAUCUACAGUACAUGUAAAUCUAAAAAUGUGCGUACUCUAUUUAGAAGUGGUGUGUUACGAAAGAGAGGCUGUAUGUUCUGUAGGCUGUAGUGGCAAAUGUGUUCCUUACAGUUGUGAUUUUACAGCAGUUUAGCAGAAGCUGAAAUGUGUCAAAAGAGGAACAGAGCGACGUGCUUGUGGGCCGAUGGCAGCACGUCUAUCAUGUUUGCAAUGUUUCCGAAGUAGGGGGUUUAUUUACGGCUAAGGCUAGUGUGUGUGUCUGUGUGUAUGUGUGUGUGAGCUCAAUAAUGUUUAAAGCAAAGGGCAAAGACAUUUUUUUCUUUAUUUGGCUCCAUUUUAGAUUUGGAGUACUCCAAUUGGGUGCUCCAUUUUAGAUUUUGGAAUCGAACAAUUUGCACGUGGUUAAAGCACAGAUUCUCAGCUUUUAUUAAAGGGUAUUUUUAUCCACUUUGGUUUCACUGUGUAGAAAUUACAGCACCAUAAUGUUUGGGACAAAUGGCUUCACAGGUGUUUCUGAUGAGUCGUGUGUAUUUAAUUGCUACAUUUUGAUUGCUGUUGGAGUCAUGUCAUUGGUAUUUAUUGGCGCCCCGCAGCAGGAGAACCAGAGUUACUGUAUGUCAAUGACACUCAAGGAAGCCAUUAUGAGGCUGAGAAAUAAAAAACAAUCAGACACAUAGGCCAAACCUUAGGCUUACCAAAAUCAACAGUUUGGAACAUGGUUAGGAAAAAAGAGCACUGGUCAGCUCAGUAAUCGAAAAGGGCCUGGCAGGCCAAGGAAGACUUCUAUAGUUGAUGACCAAAGUAUUCGCACCAUAGUCAAGAAAAAAACCCAAACAACGAUUUAACAGAGCUAAAACAUUACACAGGCAAGCAUGUAAUUGACCUGUAGUUCAGGAACAGAACUACAGAGGUUAGACUGCAAGAUGCAAACCAAAAGUUAGUCACAAAACAACGGCCAGGUUACAGAAAGACAAACACUGGGCAAUUCUUAACUGGCCAGGUCAUCUUAUCUGAAUCCAAUUGAACAUGUGUUUCCUAUGCUGAAGAGAAAACCUAAGGCAACUAACCCCCAAAACAAGCAGAAGUUUAAGAUAGCUGCAGUACAGGCCUGGCAGAGGAUCAUCAUAGAAGAUACUCAGCAUCUGGGGAUGUCUACUGGUCACACUUCGAGCAGUCAUUGCAUGCAAAGGAUAUGUGACAAAGUAUGAAACAUUUCCCAAACAUUAUGGUGCCCUGACAUGGGGUGCUAUGUAUAAAAACUGCUGUAAUUUCAACCCAAAGUGUAUGAAUACCCUCAAAUAAAAGCUCUGAAUUUCCACUGUUUAAACACGUGUGAAUUGUUUGAUUACAAAUCCAGAGCCAACUCAAGAAAAAAUCUUCUGGCCAAACAUUAUUAUUAAGAGCUCACUGUAUAUGACCUGACUAUAUCUAUUGUUGGUUUGGAAAAUUAUGCAUAAGGUCAAGUACUAGUUAAUUGAUGAAAAGCAAUAAAUGACAAUUUUUUAUUGUAUGUUUUACAAAAAUGUUUGUCAUAUUGAAUAAAGCAGAGGAUUUUUCGACA